rnacentral:rRNA from 1 species
GUGCCAGCAGCCGCGGUAAGACGAACCGUGCGAACGUUGUUCGGAAUCACUGGGCUUAAAGGGCGCGUAGGCGGGCGAUCAAGUCAGAGGUGAAAUCCCACGGCUUAACCGUGGAAGUGCCCCUGAUACUGGUUGUCUCGAGGGAGAUAGGGGCGUGCGGAACUUUUGGUGGAGCGGUGAAAUGCGUAGAUAUCAAAAGGAACACCGGUGGCGAAAGCGGCGCGCUGGAUCUCUACUGACGCUGAGGCGCGAAAGCCAGGGGAGCAAACGGGAUUAGAUACCCCCGUAGUCC